AGGCCUCUCACCAUGAAGAACAUCCACAGGGUUUACCUCCCUGUUACCAAUUGAAAGGAGGUGGCUCUCUCUCUCUCUCUCUCUCGCGCUUCAUAUUUGUAUAUAUCUACGUAAUUGAGUCCCAUGAGCCAACUAAAUAUGUGUGCAUUAUUUUCUUUUUCAUUUGCCAUGUGACGCAGUAGGAGGCCUCCACCACUUCUGCUAUUUAUGCUGGACGCUGCAUCUCGAGCUCUCUGAGGCAUUUCAUCAAACAGGUGGCGUCCUCCGCCAGGACACCGCAGAUGCCCCCGCUCUAUCUGAUUGGCCGGGGGCGUGGCGCUUUGCCUUGUAACGUCGGGGUCUACUGGUGACACUCAAUUGGAUAUUAUUUUAUUUCCGUAGGUAUCCUUGUGCUUGGCUGUGGGGUCCAUCGAGUACAG
rnacentral:lncRNA from 1 species